rnacentral:sRNA from 1 species
CUCAAAGCUAACAAGUGACAGAAAUGGGACUUGAGUCAGGCCUUUUGACUCCAAGUCCAGCACUCUAUCCCCCUCUCCCAUGCACCUCCUCUCCUCCUGUCUUUCUCCUCCUUUCUGCGUAUUAUGAGGUGCCAAGACCUGCUAUAGGGGAUGGAGGUAAAAAGAGAUGGGGUAAGAAGCUGCAGCCCCUCCUCCCACUUUCUCCUCCUUCUGGCAGCCCUAGUGGGUGGAGAGGGCACUCGGCUCGACCAGCUGCAGUACGACGUAAGGAAGGGCUCUGUGGUCAACGUGAAUCCCACCAACACCCGGGCCCACAGUGAGACCCCUGAGAUCCGGAAGUACAAGAAGCGAUUCAACUCCGAGAUCCUCUGUGCAGCCCUUUGGGGGGUCAACCUGCUGGUGGGCACGGAGAACGGGCUGAUGUUGCUGGACCGAAGUGGGCAGGGGAAGGUGUAUGGACUCAUUGGGCGGCGACGCUUCCAGCAGAUGGAUGUGCUGGAGGGGCUCAACCUGCUCAUCACCAUCUCAGGGAAAAGGAACAAGCUGCGGGUGUAUUACCUGUCCUGGCUCCGGAACAAGAUUCUGCACAAUGACCCAGAAGUGGAGAAGAAGCAGGGCUGG